rnacentral:rRNA from 1 species
CCUACGGGAGGCAGCAGUAGGGAAUAUUGGGCAAUGGACGAGAGUCUGACCCAGCCAUGCCGCGUGCAGGAAGACGGCGUUUGCGUUGUAAACUGCUUUUAUCUGGGAAGCGGUACCAGAUGAAUAAGCACCGGCUAACUCCGUGCCAGCAGCCGCGGUAAUACGGAGGGUGCAAGCGUUGUCCGGAUUUAUUGGGUUUAAAGGGUGCGUAGGCGGCCGUUUAAGUCAGUGGUGAAAGACCCCGGCUCAACCGGGGCAGUGCCAUUGAUACUGGAUGGCUUGAGUGUUGGAGGGGUACAUGGAAUUGAUGGUGUAGCGGUGAAAUGCAUAGAUACCAUCAGGAACACCGAUAGCGAAGGCAUUGUACUGGCCACACUGACGCUGAUGCACGAAAGCAUGGGUAGCGAACAGGAUUAGAUACCCUUGUAGUC